ACUCUUCAUUCUUCAUUCGAAACUCAUGAAUGUUGUAUCGGAGGUUUCUGCCUUGUUAUAACGGUUAUUCUCCUAUUUGUGACCUAUUUUGAUAUAAUUUAAACAGGCAACGCUACGAUGCAUUAUUCAAGAUAAAGAAACAGUUUGAGUUAUGCAUCGAUCCUUAUCCAAUUUGUCCACCCUAAAAGAAAAUUCAUGCAUUCCUCCUAACUAAAGUGGGUUGUAACCUUUUUUCCAUGUCAAUCUUGAGUAGCAUACAGUCAUGAUACUAAAUACAGUCUAUGUGACAGCAUGUACAAAUGUAGUCCCCAGCUGCACCGCCAUGUUUCUUAUAUGUAGCGACUCUGUGCAGUUGGCCACAUAGAUUAAUGGAAUGAUGGUCCUCUUU
rnacentral:lncRNA from 1 species